AGCUGUUCCCCUCUGGAGGUUAUUUUUGACCUUCACACUUCAAAGGGCCCUGGAGCAAUCCGGUGGCCCUCUUUUUUUGCUGCA
rnacentral:sRNA from 1 species